AACGCUGGCGGCGUGCCUAAUACAUGCAAGUCGAGCGAACGGACGAGAAGCUUGCUUCUCUGAUGUUAGCGGCGGACGGGUGAGUAACACGUGGAUAACCUACCUAUAAGACUGGGAUAACUUCGGGAAACCGGAGCUAAUACCGGAUAAUAUUUUGAACCGCAUGGUUCAAAAGUGAAAGACGGUCUUGCUGUCACUUAUAGAUGGAUCCGCGCUGCAUUAGCUAGUUGGUAAGGUAACGGCUUACCAAGGCAACGAUGCAUAGCCGACCUGAGAGGGUGAUCGGCCACACUGGAACUGAGACACGGUCCAGACUCCUACGGGAGGCAGCAGUAGGGAAUCUUCCGCAAUGGGCGAAAGCCUGACGGAGCAACGCCGCGUGAGUGAUGAAGGUCUUCGGAUCGUAAAACUCUGUUAUUAGGGAAGAACAUAUGUGUAAGUAACUGUGCACAUCUUGACGGUACCUAAUCAGAAAGCCACGGCUAACUACGUGCCAGCAGCCGCGGUAAUACGUAGGUGGCAAGCGUUAUCCGGAAUUAUUGGGCGUAAAGCGCGCGUAGGCGGUUUUUUAAGUCUGAUGUGAAAGCCCACGGCUCAACCGUGGAGGGUCAUUGGAAACUGGAAAACUUGAGUGCAGAAGAGGAAAGUGGAAUUCCAUGUGUAGCGGUGAAAUGCGCAGAGAUAUGGAGGAACACCAGUGGCGAAGGCGACUUUCUGGUCUGUAACUGACGCUGAUGUGCGAAAGCGUGGGGAUCAAACAGGAUUAGAUACCCUGGUAGUCCACGCCGUAAACGAUGAGUGCUAAGUGUUAGGGGGUUUCCGCCCCUUAGUGCUGCAGCUAACGCAUUAAGCACUCCGCCUGGGGAGUACGACCGCAAGGUUGAAACUCAAAGGAAUUGACGGGGA
rnacentral:rRNA from 1 species